UGGCUCAGUGGUAGAGUGCUUGUCUUGCAUGCAUGAGGCCCUGAGUUCGAUUCCUCAG
rnacentral:tRNA from 1 species